AUUGAACGCUGGCGGCAGGCCUAACACAUGCAAGUCGAACGAGUGGCGGACGGGUGAGUAAUGGCUGGGAAACUGCCUGAUGGAGGGGGAUAACUACGGGAAACGGUAGCUAAUAGCGCAUACCAUCAGAUGUGCCGAGAUGGGAUUAGCGAGUUGGUGGGGUAACUGCUCACCAAGGCGACGAUCCCUAGCGUGUCUGAGAGGAUGACCAGCCACACUGGAACUGAGACACGGUCCAGACUCCUACGGGAGGCAUCAGUGGGGAAUAUUGCACAAUGGGCGCAAGCCUGAUUCAGCCAUGCCGCGUGUAUGAAGAAGGCCUUCGGGUUGUAAAGUACUUUCAGCGGGGAGGCGUUACCCGCAGAAGAAGCACCGGCUAACUCCGUGCCAGCAGCCGCGGUAAUAC
rnacentral:rRNA from 1 species